AGCUUUGCGCAGUGGCAGUAUCGUAGCCAAUGAGGUUUAUCCGAGGCGCGAUUAUUGCUAAUUGAGAAUACCCGGUAGCAGUUUUGUUUUUCCUAGUGUCUCCCCUACUCUUACAGUUUUCUGAUUCCUCAUUCUAUUUAAAAAGAGG